GAUGAACGCUGACAGAAUGCUUAACACAUGCAAGUCUUUGGCGAAGCUGUGCUUGCACCGCCUAGCCAAGGCGGACGGGUGAGUAACGCGUAAGGAACUUGCCCUGCAGUCAGGGAUAACAGACGGAAACGACUGAUAAGACCUGGUAAAGUCAGGCGGACUCAUGUCCAGCCUGAUGAAAGGAGAUGCUGCAGGAGAGCCUUGCGUCCUAUUAGCUUGUUGGUGGGGUAACGGCCCACCAAGGCGAUGAUAGGUAGCCGGCCUGAGAGGGUGGACGGCCACAAGGGGACUGAGAUACGGCCCUUACUCCUACGGGAGGCAGCAGUGGGGAAUAUUGGACAAUGGGGGCAACCCUGAUGCAGCAAUUCUGUGUGCACGAUGAAGGUUUUCGGAUUGUAAAGUGCUUUCAGCAGGGAAGAAAAAAAUGACGGUACCUGCAGAAGAAGCGACGGCUAAAUACGUG
rnacentral:rRNA from 1 species